rnacentral:rRNA from 1 species
AUUGAACGCUGGCGGCAGGCCUAACACAUGCAAGUCGAACGAGUGGCGGACGGGUGAGUAAUGUCUGGGAAACUGCCCGAUGGAGGGGGAUAACUACUGGACACGGUAGCUAAUACCGCAUACCAUCGGAUGUGCCCAGCUGGGAUUUGCUGGUAGGUGGGGUAACGGCUCACCUAGGCGACGAUGCCUAGCUGGUCUGAGAGGAUGACCAGCGACACUGGAACUGAGACACGGUCCAGACUCCUACGGGAGGCAGCAGGCGGGAAUAUUGCACAAUGGGGGCAAGCCUGAUGCAGCCAUGCCGCGUGUAUGAAGAAGGCCUUCGGGUUGUAAAGUACUUUCAGCGAGGAGGCGUUACUCGCAGAAGAAGCACCGGCUAACUCCGUGCCAGCAGCCGCGGUAAUAC